AAGAGAAGAGGACAGAACAGGCAUCUGUCGCCCAUUGUGGAGAUGUAGGGUACGCCUUCCUACCUUCUCUU
rnacentral:ncRNA from 12 species